GAUGAACGCUGGCGGCGUGCCUAAUACAUGCAAGUCGAGCGAACAGACGAGGAGCUUGCUCCUCUGACGUUAGCGGCGGACGGGUGAGUAACACGUGGAUAACCUACCUAUAAGACUGGGAUAACUUCGGGAAACCGGAGCUAAUACCGGAUAAUAUAUUGAACCGCAUGGUUCAAUAGUGAAAGACGGUUUUGCUGUUACUUAUAGAUGGAUCCGCGCCGCAUUAGCUAGUUGGUAAGGUAACGGCUUACCAAGGCAACGAUGCGUAGCCGACCUGAGAGGGUGAUCGGACACACUGGAACGGAGACACGGUCCAGACUCCUACGGGAGGCAGCAGUAGGGAAUCUUCCGCAAUGGGCGAAAGCCUGACGGAGCAACGGCGCGUGAGUGAUGAAGGUCUUCGGAUCGUAAAACUCUGUUAUUAGGGAAGAACAAAUGUGUAAGUACCUAUGCACGUCUUGACGGUACCUAAUCAGAAAGCCACGGCUAACUACGUG
rnacentral:rRNA from 1 species